AGAGUUUUACUGAUUGUCUUGCAUGGAUACAUUUGAGCCUGCAUGUUGCGAUCUGUAUCCAAUGAUUGUAACUUCUGUAUUGUAUCCUUCAAUGAGAAAGGACAGCUCUGGUGUGAGGAGUCCCUCUCCCUUCUCCUAAACUCUUCUACAAAACAGGGGUUUCCAACUUCCGGGAUAAGGACCUGUACCAACUCAUGGCCUGUUAGGAAAUGGGCCACACAGCAGAAGCUCUCCAGGAACACAUCUUUGAAGACAAAAUGCCUCCAAGAUCCCCAGUACUGUAGCUCUUCUCCUGAAGCAACUAUUUCCAGCCUUGAAAGUUAUCAGCUCAGGAGAGGAAGCACUGCAAGCAGCUCCUGGGCCCUGGGGUAUGGUUGCAGAUUCAUCACCUAGCUACUUGUUUGUGGUGUUAUCAUCUUUUUUUCCCUGACAUAUUUUGGAACUUGACUACAUCUGAUAUAUUUCUCAACAUUUCUCCAGUACCAUUCACUCCAACUCCAGAGGACACCAUGGAACACCAUUUCCUCGGCUGGAAGUGGGACCAUCUCCGGCGACCUCUGCUUCUCCUCUCCUUUUCUACUUUACAGGAGCACUUACAGAAACACUUGAAAAAGUUCCCCACUCAUAGGAGACCUGUCAGUUAGCAAAUUGUACCCUGAAGUUUUGGUCUAGGAUAUCAAAGCAUAACUUAUUUUGGGGCUGCUUUACCAGAUUGUGACAUAAUAAACUUUACUUACUUCAAACAUUUUAUUUGUGAUGAGAUCACGAUCACGGAGGCCCUCGAGGAAUGGAAAUGUCUUUUUUAUUGCAUUUGAAAUCUCCACCUUAUUUCUUUUGAAGUGCUUGAAUACAAUGUCAUAGAGCAGCCUGUCAUCUACACCCUGGUCUUCCGUGAACAUCCUAGGGAAAAAGGACACCAUGUGAAAAUGGUCAUCAAGAUUCUGAGAUGUUUGUGGAGGCUGUAAGAGUUUACAUAUAAAGGACAAGCUACAAAGAAUGAACAUAUAUAAAUUAGGUGGUCCUCAGUAGAGGCCAGAAUAAAUGCAAUUGAAGCAACAAAAAAGAUGUAAUAGAAGAAAUGGAGGUUGUGAAAAACUAAUAUAGAGGACUGAAAAAGUUCUGUCUAAACUGAACAAAGCCAUUGUAAAGAUACCUUCACCUAACCAUAUAUGGAAUAUUUUUUGAAAUAAAAAUUAAAUUCCUACAGAAUCUAGGUGGAAUAAACAGGUCAUCCACAGAGAAAUGAAAAACAAUGGAAUAAAAAUAAAAUCUAACCUUGAAUAUGCAUCUUAAUCAACUGAGAGAAAACAAAUCUGAGAAAGAUGAAAAUAACAUGUCCUUCUCUAAUCUGUAGCUGUUAAGAAAGAAAUAUAAUCCUACAUCAUUAAUUCACAAAUAAUACAAUGCAGUUUAAUAAUAAUAAUGAGACCACAUUAUUGAGAAUUUCAUGAGAAUAUGAAUGAUAUCUCCUAGAAUGCCUGAUUCUACUUUGUAUUAAUAUCAAUCUCUCUGUAUUAUUGCUAUAUAUGGUGAAUCAUUUUAGGCAUCUGAAUUUCAGAAAUUGUUGCCGUUUCCUAUGAAAGUAAUUUUAAAGUUGAAUCUCUAAUUCUGGUUCUUAGUUGAUUACUUUAUUGCUCUGAUAAUGUUUUAGUCAACAUCUCAGUAUUUCUUAAUAUUAUGAAAAUUUAUGAGCCCUUCCUUCCCAACUAGAAGAGAAUUAUUGGCACUGUCCAGUAUCUAACAUGAGGCAGGAAACAAUAAUGUUACAUUAUUGUUUUGAAUUUCUGUAAAAAAAGUUUCUGGUUAAAGAUCACUAAAAUGAUAACAAAGGAAUUAGAUUCACAAUGACAAAGAGAAUGGCAGAGGACAAUGAGCAGAUAAGAGAUUUCAAGUAAAAUCUUGAAGGUGAAAAGUGGUCAGAAAAGUGCUAGUUGCAAUAGCAGAUAGGGGAUGGAUGCUUUCAGAGGUUAGGAAUCAUGGUGCCCUACAGAAUUUGUAAGAAACAAUGGAGAUUUGAAGGGAGACACAGAGCCAAAAACUGAUGUGUUAUUUGAGAAAUGAACAGAACAGUGUGUGCCCUGCCCGUCAACCCACAUCCUGACCAUAUGCAACCAGGCAGUCUCUCAGGGCAACCACUGCUGUCAUUUUUUCCAUCGUAUCUUAAUACUGCCCGCUACUGGAUUUUGUAUAAAUGGGAUAAAAGGUAUAUAUGCUUUUGUGUCUGCCUUCUUUUGCUUAUCAUUCAUGUUGAUGUGUUGAACAGUAGUUUGUUCAUUUUUGUUGUUGAGUGGCAUUCCAUUGUGUGAAUAUACCACAAUCUGCUUAUUCAGUUUUCUGUUCAUGGUCAUUGGAGUUGAUUCCACUUUGAGACUAGUAUAAAUAAAAUUGCUGCUCUUGUACAA